UUUGUUGCCUGUUAAUCAGCUACUGGUUCACCAAAUUUCUGAGCAUCUUCCAUCCAGAGGAUGUUUGAUGUUCUUUUUUACUGAACUAUGAUGUGUGCAUGCUAUAAUUAGAAGGAUUGAGUCAUAACCACUUAGAGGACAAGAUUCUUGCCCUCUUCUCAUUAAUACAAUUCAUAUUUAAACUAGCUGCCAUUUUCUCUUGACUUCUUACAUCAUUAUAUGUUUCAAAAUUAAAUAUGCUUUCACAGAAAUUGAAGUCCUGCUUUUGCCUAGGUUUUUAGAGUCACUUUAAUUUUUAAAUUAAAACACUCUGGCAGAGGGAUCUGUUUCUUCCAGAGGUAUUUGUCACUCAUACAGGUAUUUCAGAUAUGUUAGUAUGCCUCCCCAUUUGAAUCAGAUUUGCUUGCUUCAUUAAAACUCAGGCAAAAAGGAAAAUGUUUCUCAUGGUACAGACAAAAGAGCUGUCUGACUCGUGGGCUUUCUCACAACUACUGACAACAAUUGCCCUGCAUAAAAUUUCUUUACAUGUGUUCUUCUUUUUCCUUGGUCCAGCUGCUUAGAAAGUGUGUGUUGUGGCUGUCUUUGUACAUACCAACAAAACUAAAAAAAGUUGUGAUGAGAAAGACUAAAAUUAGAAAGAUCUAAAGAGCAGUCUUAACUUUACAGGCAGUCUUAACCCUACAUCAUCCUCUAUCAAAUGGCAGCUCCUCCCUAAGGUCAAGCAUAUCUACAAUGAAGUUCUGCUUUGAUAUGUAUUAAAGUUAAGCUUUAUUAGAAACGCACACUCUCCUUUUUUUUUUUUAUUUUUGCUUUUUAUUCCAAGCAGAAGACUUUGAGAUUGUAUAAGUUUGCAAAAUAUAUACAGGACAAAUAAGGACCUAUAAACUGUUCAAGCAAGCAACCUAGGAAGACCCUGUGUCAGUAUUAUGCAUAGGUCUUGAUCAAAGUUUAUGGUGAGUUUGAUCUUGCCUUAUUUUAUCUGCCUAAAAAAACUCUGCCAGCUGCACAUAGUUGAAAGGGAUGUAUGUGUCCAGAGGGCUGUUUAUCCCGUCUGCUUUGGACAUCUAUCUUGGGCUGGAAUGGGCUGACCUGUGGCAGUUCAUUGACUCCUGAAGGAUCCUAUUUUAGGACUUCUAAAAUUAGGUUGUGAAUAUGAAAUGAAAGAAAAAGGAAAGACUUCUUUUUCAGAGGCACAGUUGAAUUAAAUUUAAUCAAGAGUAUUAUUUCAAAUACCUACAAUUAAUGUGAAAGAGUACAGGAAAAGAACAGUUUUCAAUUAAGCCUGGAUUAAAGUAAUGUUUUUUAAUGGGGUAGUAUCAUCAGGAACACUAGGUAAAAUGGAGCUUUAAUAUUGUCAUUUUUUAUAACUCUUCUUAGAAGGAUGGAAUUGCUAAUGGCUUUGAGCUCUACAGCACAACUGGUGUAGAAUGGAUGUAAAGUAUAAAACCAGAGAAAACCAAACUAGACUCAGUAAAUUUUUCAUGCAUGUUUGUCAGUGAACUGCAACUCCUGAUGCAAGGUAAGUACUUGUUCUUGCAUCUUACUUGAAAAAUCAGCUUGGAUAAAAAUCAUCUCAAAACUAUGUACAAAUGCAGGACUUACAGCAGCCAUUUCAUGCUGAUGGUACAGGCAAAUUUAGGGCAGCUGUCCCUAGGGAGAAUAAAUGGUCUUUUACAAUAUAGUAUUCUAGAAAAUAUAUCUCCAAAAAUAUUUGACAUUCAACAUAGCCCACAGAACUGCACAUUUAGCUUGUCAGUGAUAGUUAUAUUUCCUGAGAAUAUAAGAGGAAGGGUUUUAAUUGAUGCCUAAGAGAUCAAUACCAUCAACCAUGAGGUUAAAGUAUUGCCUGUCUUGAAAACAGACCUAAAUUUUUCUGUAAGGUUUCUUGUGUAUUAUGCUGAAAAACAGCAAAGUUAUUGAUCACCUUUUUAGGACUCAUGAAAAAUGUUGAGGGAUGAAGAUUUCUUAGUAACAGAAAGGUUGGUGAAUAAAAAUUUGGGUAAAGCUACUCCAUACAGGUGCAUGAUGUGUGAUAGAAGCGUUGAUACCCAAGUGAUGACUUCAGAAUUUUCUUUUAUGGCCAUUGCCUGGAAUAACUAUUCUAGAGCAGGUAAAAUGUAUGAAAGGCCUUUUUAGUGGAAGCACACCAGUUCAAUAUUCAGUGUAAAGUCUCAUAGGGAUGUGCAGGUGACAUAAUAUUUCAGACAUGCUAGGUAUAAUCCUGGCACCUAAGCAUAAGCUGAUUCAAUAAAGCAUGAUUUAUAACCAGACUGAGCUGUUUUGAGGUGAAAGGGUAGGAUAUGACUUACUUGGCUUGCAGAGAUAUUCUGUUCUGCUCUGAAUUUGCUGAAAGGAUGUUAAAUGUAUCAGAGCUGAGGUAGCUCAGAUUUUGGUGAGGCACCUGAACUGGAAGGUGGCUGGAGAAGGAUUUGUGACCCAUGUCUGCAUUAGGGCUUCCUUGGAUACCCACUGUGGACAAAAAAAGAAAACUUAAGUGUUGCUACUGAACAGAGAUGGGAAAAUGUAUCAGGCAAAGAUGGAUAUUUGGGAGCCUGUUCUGCUUGAAACCCCUUUAACUUAUUGCAAUCACAGUGGAGAAAAAGAUCAGAGGUGUGCUCUCUGAUGACAGUGCAGUGCAGAGACAGCAUGAACUGAGGAAGCAGGAACACUUGUGUUCUCCAUACGCUCCACAUCUCUUCCCAAAGCUGCUGCUGUUCAGCAGUAAUGAUGGCCUUAGAGCUGUUACCUGCUGCUUCAGCUGAAUGUACCUCAAGACAACCCACUGCUGUGCUAGGCCUUGGACGUGGAAAAUCCUGCGGUGUUCUGAAAGUGUGAUCAGAUGACAAUGUCUUCAUCACUGCUUUCCAUAACCCUCCAAAUCCUGAGACUAAUUGUUCUGCCUCGCUUAUCAAACCAUAGAUGUGGUUUUGGUACAGUGGGACAAAUCAGGAGCUGGUGCAGACCUUGUUUCCUGUUAUGCCGAGUACAUCUGAGCAUGGGCCAUGGCAUUUAAGAAGGAUCUACGUGGAUGUCUCUAGGAACAGGUGAAGAAUCUGAGUCACUAGAUGAGUCACUCUGUCAGUGGAAAUUCCCUUCCCUCUUCCACUGACUUGCAAGAUCAGCAGUGUAGGUAGAACACCUAGAAGCUGCUUUAUAGAAAAGGGUCUCCUUGCAACAGUGAAAGGUAUCUGUCUCAUUUAGGACUUUUGGAUUUGGGUUCUUUUCCCCUUUGAACUGAAGAUUGACGAGAGGGAGGCUAUUUUCUCUUGUUCGGUCUCAGUUGUUUA